UACGAAGGGGGCUAGCGUUGUUCGGAAUUACUGGGCGUAAAGCGCACGUAGGCGGCUUAGCAAGUUGGGGGUGAAAUCCCGGGGCUCGACCUCGGAAUUGCCUUCAAAGCUGCUAGGCUUGAGUUCGGAAGAGGUGAGUGGAAUUCCCAGUGUAGAGGUGAAAGUCGUAGAGAUUGGGAAGAACACCAGUGGCGAAGGCGGCUCACUGGUCCGCAACUGACGCUGAGGUGCGAAAGCGUGGGGAGCAAACAGG
rnacentral:rRNA from 1 species